UGGGGAAUAUUGGACAAUGGGCGCAAGCCUGAUCCAGCAAUGCCGCGUGGAUGAAGAAGGUUUUCGGAUUGUAAAGUCCUUUCGGCGGGGACGAUGAUGACGGUACCCGCAGAAGAAGCCCCGGCUAACUUCGUGCCAGCAGCCGCGGUAAUACGAAGGGGGCUAGCGUUGCUCGGAAUGACUGGGCGUAAAGGGCGCGUAGGCGGAUUGCUUUGUCAGACGUGAAAUUCCAGGGCUUAACCUUGGGGCUGCGUUUGAGACGGGUGAUCUUGAGUGGAGAAGAGGGUCGUGGAAUUCCCAGUGUAGAGGUGAAAUUCGUAGAUAUUGGGAAGAACACCGGUGGCGAAGGCGGCGACCUGGUCUUUUACUGACGCUGAGGCGCGAAAGCGUGGGGAGCAAACAG
rnacentral:rRNA from 1 species